AGUGAACGCUGGCGGUAGGCCUAACACAUGCAAGUCGAACGGCAGCACAGUAAGAGCUUGCUCUUACGGGUGGCGAGUGGCGGACGGGUGAGGAAUACAUCGGAAUCUACUUUUUCGUGGGGGAUAACGUAGGGAAACUUACGCUAAUACCGCAUACGCCCUACGGGUGAAAGCAGGGGAUCUUCGGACCUUGCGCGAUUGAAUGAGCCGAUGUCGGAUUAGCUAGUUGGCGGGGUAAAGGCCCACCAAGGCGACGAUCCGUAGCUGGUCUGAGAGGAUGAUCAGCCACACUGGAAGUGAGACACGGUCCAGACUCCUACGGGAGGCAGCAGUGGGGAAUAUUGGACAAUGGGCGCAAGCCUGAUCCAGCCAUACCGCGUGGGUGAAGAAGGCCUUCGGGUUGUAAAGCCCUUUUGUUGGGAAAGAAAAGCAGCAGGUUAAUACCCCGCUGUUCUGACGGUACCCAAAGAAUAAGCACCGGCUAACUUCGUG
rnacentral:rRNA from 1 species